rnacentral:rRNA from 1 species
CUACGGAGGGUGCAAGCGUUAUCCGGAAUUAUUGGGUUUAAAGGGUCCGUAGGCGGCUAGAUAAGUCAGUGGUGAAAUUCUCUCGCUCAACGAGAGACCUGCCAUUGAUACUGUCUCGGCUAGAGUUACAGUGAGGUGAGUGGAAUGUGUAGUGUAGCGGUGAAAUGCAUAGAUAUUACACAGAACACCGAUUGCGAAGGCAGCUCACUAACUGUAUACUGACGCUGAUGGACGAAAGCGUGGGGAGCAAACAGGAUUAGAAACCCUUGUAGUCC